GAGUUUGAUCCUGGCUCAGAAUGAACGCUGGCGGCAUGCCUAACACAUGCAAGUCGAACGGGAUCCAGGCUUCGGCCUGGUGAGAGUGGCGGACGGGUGAGUAACGCGUGGGAACCUGCCCAAUGGUCUGGGAUAACCGCGGGAAACUGCGGCUAAUACCGGAUAAGCCCGAGAGGGGAAAGAUUUAUCGCCGAUGGAGGGGCCCGCGUCCGAUUAGGUAGUUGGUGAGGUAACGGCUCACCAAGCCGACGAUCGGUAGCUGGUCUGAGAGGAUGAUCAGCCACACUGGGACUGAGAUACGGCCCAGACUCCUACGGGAGGCAGCAGUGGGGAAUAUUGGACAAUGGGGGCAACCCUGAUCCAGCAAUGCCGCGUGAGUGAUGAAGGCCUUAGGGUUGUAAAGCUCUUUUGGCGGGGACGAUGAUGACGGUACCCGCAGAAUAAGCCCCGGCUAACUUCGUGCCAGCAGCCGCGGUAAC
rnacentral:rRNA from 1 species